UUAUCAAACAAACAAUAAUAACAAACACAUCAGACAAACAUCAAUUGCCUUCAGAAUCUUUCAGGUAUCAGUACUUCUCUAUACCACAUAGGAUGCAGCCUUAGGACGAAUGACGGUAUUCUUCACCAGCCUUAGGCAUUGCCAGCCAAUGCCUAGUUGAUGCAUACAAUUUGAGUUUAAUACAUAAAUUACAAAAAAGGACAUGUGUCUCAACAACUCAGAAGGACGAAGGUGUAUCAUGAUGCUUAUCUUGGUAAGAUAUUGUGAUGCACUUAUCUUUGGUUUGAUACUGUCACUUAAUGCUGAGGCACCUAGAAGCACAUUCAAUGCAUAUGAUAGCAUGACUAAUCAAUAUAUAAUUACUUUUUUUAAUAAUCCGGGGAAUCUCCAGCCCAGCACAUAUGGGCCCAUUAAUUUUUUAACUUACCAAGAUAUAUAUCUCUAAUUAUAAAUACUAAAAACCAAACUAAUCCUUGUGUCCUUACCGUGGAAUUUUCAACAAAAAUGAAAAUACCAACCAGCAGUGAUCUCAUAUCAAAAUUUACGUAAAGCUGGUGGAAAAAUAGUUCAUGGGAUGGAUAAAAGAUUUCAAAAUUAGUCAAGGCCACUCUUAGGAUACUGUCCAUAUUAAUAUUCAAAUAUUAUACAGUAGUGGCACGGAACAAUCUAAUAGAUGUGGACUUUUUCUAAUUGGUGUAUCUGGUGACAUUUUUUACCACGUUAUAGGCAGUAAAUUACAUUCUAUUACCAGUGUUUUAUUUCAAGGAGGAUUUCAAUGAGUAUUUAUGUAGUACCUUAAUAGACAUGAUACGGAUGAUAUUAUUUUGCAAAAGCAACUA